AAUAAGAGCUAAAUCACCAGAUACUGAAAUUACAGAGGGCAUUCUAGUUAGCAAAGGAGCAGUUCUGACAAUAAUAGAACCUUUUGUGGAAUUACAGAUAAUGCCAUUAUUGAAGAGUAGAAUUCAACUGUAGGGUUGAUAAGUUAAAGGUCAAGAUGUAGGUUGAGGCAAGCUCUUAAAAGUUAUUUUGUGCUGUAUUUGUGUUGUUAUUGUGUUUUUAUUGCUUUGGUUUGUUUUUACUCUCUUCUUUUGAAACAGAUAUAGCCAUUUUUGCUAAAGAAUAAAUGGGGAUUAGAUGUCAUCUUAGAACCACUGACAUUUGCCAAGCUUCAAAGGAAAGACUCACCAUUCCUGAGCUAUUUUGGUGCAGGAGCACUUGUCUACAAUAACUGAUUAUCUCUGCCACGUCAUCUCCCUGAGACCAAGAAGACCAAAUGAGUUUAAAUCAAAUGUCUCCAGCUAGGUUGGCUGGCAACUAUCCAUGAAGCAAAUUACUGGAGAAAGUCUCAUCUAAGAACUCAGAAGAAACAAAAUUAUUUUUCCUCCUCUACAUUAGUUUGUAUUAAGCCUCUGUCGUUCAUUCACCACAUAACAUGUAAUGACAUUGGACUGAUCCCAUGGUGCUUUCCUCCAUCACUUGAUGUGUGUAUAAGAACCCCCAGGCUUCAAGCAGGAGGGAAAAGAAUAUCCUUAGAAGAAGAGCACUGAUGACUGAAAUAGAUAUUCAGAUUGGUGACUCCAAGAACUUUUACUACUAUUUACCAUCAAUGAACUCUUCAAAUCCUCAUGGAACAAAUGACGUUUCAGAGAAUUGGAAUGGCUUCAACAACUACUUCUUUCAGAACACUGACCUUCCAUGGUUUCAACCCUUUCCCCUUCUUUACUUACAUCCUGGACCUGGCUUCAUUUCCAAUUCCACAUUUCUACCUGCCUACUCCCAUCCCCAAGCUUUCCUUUCAUCACAGUGAAGGAAGCAGACCAACUUUAUGCCUUCAUACAGUUCUUGUGUUGGUUGAGAAACAGAUAUUAUAUACAUAAACAAACAGGUUUACAACAUCGUAUGGUGAUUAAUGCUAAGGGAAGUACUAAUUUAGAUAGGGUUAUCUGAGGAGACCUCUUAAAGUAUCAAAAUAUAAAUAUAAUGAGAAAGAAAAGCAUGCAAGUGUCUAGGAGAGAAAUUUUCCAAGGAAACAACAUGCCCAGAGGCCCUGAGGUAGGAUAUACUUUCAAAGUUUUAUCAUUUUCCUUAAACUACUCUGUCCUCAUACUUUUAUGCAACCAAUCCUAACUCCUACACAUUCUUCAUGAAGAUUUCUCCAGUUAUUGCCAUACAUGCUGAAUGAUUCUUUUUCUGAACUUAUGCAGAAAUAAUGGCCUUCAGAACACAUUCUUUAAUACAGUGAACACUCUCCACAUACACCCAUUUUCUCUACUCACACUGUGACUUUCUUAAUAAAAAAACACAUUUAUUGUACUCUAUUAAUUUAGAGAAAUAAGAUUCAGGGAACAUUAUUACUGAUAACACCUAACAUAUGGGAUACUUUAUAAUAUUACUAUAAUAAUGUAGAAGAAUUUUACCUUUACUUAAAAAGAAAUGUGAUUCAUUACAUUUACAUUACAUCACGCUCCCUAUCUUUAUGAAAAACAUCAAAUUGGUAGGGAUUUAAUAAUGUUAAAAUUGCUUUGAAAAGAGAAAUUUGGAAGAGUUAUGUUUCCAUUAUAUGUAUACAUGUGUUGGGAAACAUCAUCAAAAAGAUGUGACCACAAAUUGACCAGUAAAUUGGACUUGGGCAUUUGGAGUCUCCUCCCUCCCUCCCCUGUCCUUGGAAUGUGGUUCCAUUUGCCUUUCCUGCUCCCAGAUGCUGCUCCAAAAACAGAGCCUUGAGAUGGUGGUGUGGUGUUGAAAAUACUUCUGUGGUAUACAUGACUGAGCCCAGUUAGGGCCUCUUUAUAAACUUAAGACCUGGUGGACAGGUGCAGGGAUCCAUUCAUCUUGGUGCUGCUCAAUACUCAGUAUGUAAAUUCCCUUUGCUAUUAUAAAAAUUUCCACCUACAAAUAUAGUGAUAUGACUUUCUUUGGUCUCUCCCUGCCCUCUGGAGUACAGGGGCCAGUUUCAGAUUAUACCUGGGAAGCUGCCAG